GUCAAAGGGAACCGAGGAAAUAAAAUUACCGGUUUCCGAAGAGCAAACUAGGGAGUCAUCAGGUACUGCUUACAAGGAAGAGGUUCGAGUAGUCGAAUCAGCUGAUGCCGGACAAGAUUAUGGCAAGGCCGUGAUCCCCGAUAGCACAGGAAAUCCGCCGUAUACUGUCUCCGUUGCCGGACGCCCCCUGCAUCCGACUUCAUGGAUGAGUUGCUGUGGACUUUUCGAAAUUCUGCACCGAAGAUCUGACAGAUAAUUUAAGAAACAGAACAUUACGGCUAGUGCAACUGAGCCAUGAAGGUCGCACAGCUAUACCUAAAUCGAUAUAGUGUUUGAGAUUUAGAGCUUCACUUUGUGUUAGCAGCUGAGGAUUUGAGAUUGGUUAUUCGUGAUUUUGUGUGGAGUGAAUUUCAUCAUCCGGUAUAUUUUCCAUAUUUAGUGAAGAACGGUUCUUCUAUAUUCCUUUCAGUGACAUGUAUGUACCAAGGAUUUCAAUUUUUAAUUUGGUAUAUGUAGAACUUAAGAAUCUGUUACCCAAUGUAUAUCAUCUAUACAUUGAUGAUUGAUGGUUGAUGCUAAAGAAAGGUUUAUGCUUGAGUGUUAA